rnacentral:tRNA from 1 species
GCCGAAGUGGCGGAAUGGCAGACGCGAUGGACUCAAAAUCCAUUGUCCUUACAGGCAUGUGGGUUCAAGUCCCACCUUCGGCA